rnacentral:rRNA from 1 species
AAUCAUCUGGAAAGAUGAAUCAAAGAAGGUAAUAAUCCUGUAGUCGAAAAUGUUGUCUCUCUUGAGUGGAUCCUGAGUACGACGGAGCACGUGAAAUUCCGUCGGAAUCUGGGAGGACCAUCUCCUAAGGCUAAAUACUCUCUAGUGACCGAUAGUGAACCAGUACCGUGAGGGAAAGGUGAAAAGCACCCCGGAAGGGGAGUGAAAUAGAACCUGAAACCGUGUGCUUACAAGUAGUCAGAGCCCGUUAAUGGGUGAUGGCGUGCCUUUUGUAGAAUGAACCGGCGAGUUACGAUUUGAUGCAAGGUUAAGCAGUAAAUGUGGAGCCGUAGCGAAAGCGAGUCUGAAUAGGGCGUUUAGUAUUUGGUCGUAGACCCGAAACCAGGUGAUCUACCCUUGGUCAGGUUGAAGUUCAGGUAACACUGAAUGGAGGACCGAACCGACUUACGUUGAAAAGUGAGCGGAUGAACUGAGGGUAGCGGAGAAAUUCCAAUCGAACCUGGAGAUAGCUGGUUCUCUCCGAAAUAGCUUUAGGGCUAGCCUCAAGUGAUGAUUAUUGGAGGUAGAGCACUGUUUGGACGAGGGGCCCCUCUCGGGUUACCGAAUUCAGACAAACUCCGAAUGCCAAUUAAUUUAACUUGGGAGUCAGAACAUGGGUGAUAAGGUCCGUGUUCGAAAGGGAAACAGCCCAGACCACCAGCUAAGGUCCCAAAAUAUAUGUUAAGUGGAAAAGGAUGUGGCGUUGCCCAGACAACUAGGAUGUUGGCUUAGAAGCAGCCAUCAUUUAAAGAGUGCGUAAUAGCUCACUAGUCGAGUGACACUGCGCCGAAAAUGUACCGGGGCUAAACAUAUUACCGAAGCUGUGGAUUGUCCUUUGGACAAUGGUAGGAGAGCGUUCUAAGGGCGUUGAAGCAUGAUCGUAAGGACAUGUGGAGCGCUUAGAAGUGAGAAUGCCGGUGUGAGUAGCGAAAGACGGGUGAGAAUCCCGUCCACCGAUUGACUAAGGUUUCCAGAGGAAGGCUCGUCCGCUCUGGGUUAGUCGGGUCCUAAGCUGAGGCCGACAGGCGUAGGCGAUGGAUAACAGGUUGAUAUUCCUGUACCACCUAUAAUCGUUUUAAUCGAUGGGGGGACGCAGUAGGAUAGGCGAAGCGUGCGAUUGGAUUGCACGUCUAAGCAGUAAGGCUGAGUAUUAGGCAAAUCCGGUACUCGUUAAGGCUGAGCUGUGAUGGGGAGAAGACAUUGUGUCUUCGAGUCGUUGAUUUCACACUGCCGAGAAAAGCCUCUAGAUAGAAAAUAGGUGCCCGUACCGCAAACCGACACAGGUAGUCAAGAUGAGAAUUCUAAGGUGAGCGAGCGAACUCUCGUUAAGGAACUCGGCAAAAUGACCCCGUAACUUCGGGAGAAGGGGUGCUCUUUAGGGUUAACGCCCAGAAGAGCCGCAGUGAAUAGGCCCAAGCGACUGUUUAUCAAAAACACAGGUCUCUGCUAAACCGUAAGGUGAUGUAUAGGGGCUGACGCCUGCCCGGUGCUGGAAGGUUAAGAGGAGUGGUUAGCUUCUGCGAAGCUACGAAUCGAAGCCCCAGUAAACGGCGGCCGUAACUAUAACGGUCCUAAGGUAGCGAAAUUCCUUGUCGGGUAAGUUCCGACCCGCACGAAAGGCGUAACGAUUUGGGCACUGUCUCAACGAGAGACUCGGUGAAAUCAUAGUACCUGUGAAGAUGCAGGUUACCCGCGACAGGACGGAAAGACCCCGUGGAGCUUUACUGUAGCCUGAUAUUGAAAUUCGGCACAGCUUGUACAGGAUAGGUAGGAGCCUUUGAAACGUGAGCGCUAGCUUACGUGGAGGCGCUGGUGGGAUACUACCCUAGCUGUGUUGGCUUUCUAACCCGCACCACUUAUCGUGGUGGGAGACAGUGUCAGGCGGGCAGUUUGACUGGGGCGGUCGCCUCCUAAAAGGUAACGGAGGCGCUCAAAGGUUCCCUCAGAAUGGUUGGAAAUCAUUCAUAGAGUGUAAAGGCAUAAGGGAGCUUGACUGCGAGACCUACAAGUCGAGCAGGGUCGAAAGACGGACUUAGUGAUCCGGUGGUUCCGCAUGGAAGGGCCAUCGCUCAACGGAUAAAAGCUACCCCGGGGAUAACAGGCUUAUCUCCCCCAAGAGUUCACAUCGACGGGGAGGUUUGGCACCUCGAUGUCGGCUCAUCGCAUCCUGGGGCUGUAGUCGGUCCCAAGGGUUGGGCUGUUCGCCCAUUAAAGCGGUACGCGAGCUGGGUUCAGAACGUCGUGAGACAGUUCGGUCCCUAUCCGUCGUGGGCGUAGGAAAUUUGAGAGGAGCUGUCCUUAGUACGAGAGGACCGGGAUGGACAUACCUCUGGUGUACCAGUUGUCGUGCCAACGGCAUAGCUGGGUAGCUAUGUGUGGACGGGAUAAGUGCUGAAAGCAUCUAAGCAUGAAGCCCCCCUCAAGAUGAGAUUUCCCAACUUCGGUUAUAAGAUCCCUCAAAGAUGAUGAGGUUAAUAGGUUCGAGGUGGAAGCAUGUGACAUGU